UCGGCAGAUGGCUGUGAUAAGGUUGCCGGCGAUGAGUCAUGCGAAUAGGGGCCCCAAAGUUUGGCAUGCGGAACGUGAACAUUUGUGGUGUAGGCUGUCAACAUGCCCGAUCUAUGAAGAAUGACUGUUUUGUUGAAAGCGAGACUGCUUUGUCGCAAAUCUGUCUGAAACCAGAAGUAAAAACUUCAGGCAAGUUUGUUUUGACUCUACAAAACCUGAAGCAGGAAGUUUA